UGGGAACGUGCAGCCAUGAGGUCCAGGGUGCAUUUUAGAGAGGACGGGUUGGAGGUCAUGGUGUGGUCUGGAAGAAAGGUCAGGAAAUGGAAUCAUGGUGUUAGUGGUUUAGAAAAGUGGUCCGAUGCCAGAGGCUAAGUUACUUGGCUUGGUUCACACAUCAGCAAGUUCAAACCGAGUUCAGUUGUGCUGCGAAGCCAAUAUGCUAAGUCACCAUAAUUUAACAACAGGUUUCCCCUCAAGGUAUCAUGACAUUAUUUUUUUGGGUCUCAACCAACUAGCAUUUGUCAAAGAGAGAUGGAGAGAGAGAGAAUGAAAAGAAGGAAGGAAGGAAGGAAAGAAGGAAGGAAGGAAGGAAGGAAGGAAAUAGAAUAGAAUAAAAUCACAGUUUAUUUCACGGAGUGAAGGAAGGGUUGCUGCGUGCAAAUGUGUUUCUGUGCUGUAUGCUUAUCUGCAGAUGGAUGUACCGGGCUGUGAUAUGAAACCUAUUUUUAUGGCUGGUUGUGGCUCCUCUGAGCUGCUAUUGGGUUUGCCCUCCACCCCCUCUCACGCUGACUCUGGGCCCUUCAAAAUGAGUCAUAGAGAGUCAUUACCACUCCCCCCGACCCAACCCUGACUCUGCUGUACACCUCAUGGUUUCUGAUAAUACAGCAUUGUGAAGUCGGGGGAAGGCUGGCAGAGGGGCCCAGUCUAGUCUGUGACCUGAGCCAUCAUGGUAGGGUGUCCAGGGUGAGGGGAGGGUGGUGUGAAUCCCCAGUAAUGCAGGUCCUUUCCAGGCCAGGCCCCUGGUCCCCAGGAGUGCGGGGAUGCCUGAGGUCUACUGCUGCCUUAUCCAGAGCUGCCAUCCCCGGCGAUGACUCAGAGUUCCUGUGGCCCCAGCAUCAUCCCUCCAUCCCUGGCUGUGAGGCAGGAGCAGAGUUGCAGACCUGAGAGGCCUUGAAUUUGUUUGAUAUAGGACUUUGCCACCAGACAAAGUGCUUUGCCUGUGAGGUCUGGCUUGGCCUGGCCUCUGAGAAAGAACAAACACAGACCUCACUGGAAGGAACCUGGAGAACGGGAGAGGAGAGGCUGCUGCUGUCUGCCCUCCCAGCAGCAGAUAUAAAGACAAUGGGCUUCUAAGUCCCCUAGAGUCCCAGCUGUGUAAUUUAAGGCAAAUAUAAUUUCUGACCUACGUAAUGAUGUAUGCACAAGAAGCCUCUCUUGAAUGUAUUAAUUCAGUAAACAGUUAUGGAGUCCUUACAAUGUGCUAGUGGGACUUUGAAGAUGAAUCCAAAUUUGGAUCCUGGCCUGGAAAGGCUCAAAGCCCAAUAUGGGAGAUUCUAGCAAGACCUUGUUUAUGUUGGAAACUGUUAGCAGACGCCGAAGCUGUCCGGGGCUGAGUGAGUACCACGUUACUCAGGCUUCACUGCGCUGAAGGAAGAGGUUGAGAUGAGGGCAGUCACUCACCUGUGAUGAAGACCCACUCUGCAGCUUCAUUUCCUGUCAUUACAGACAGUGCCUGGGCCCAAUCAGGAGGGGCUUAUGGGGAAUGGGGGGCAGGUGGCACUGGGGUGUCUAGGGAGAGCAAAUACAAAUUGGAUACCACCUAGAGGUCGCGAAAUGGAGAAUAAGUUUCUAAGAACAGCUAAAAAAUGAAAGAGACAUGACAACCAAAUGCAACAUGUGACCCUUGAUAGGCCCUUAGACUUUUUUUAAAAAAAAGCUAUAAAGAACAUUAUUGGGACCACUGUGUCAAUUUGAAUAUGAUUGCAUGUUAUAUGAUAUUAUUGCAUUAAUAUUAAACUUCUUAAGUAUGAAAUUGGUGUGGUGGUUAUGUAAGAGGAUUCUUUAAUUUUGGAGAAAUACCUGCUAUUAUAGUAUCUGCAGCUUUUAUAUGCUAUGUGUGUGUGCAUAUAUAUCUAUAUCUAUAUAUAAUAUGUACUUACAGAGAGAGAUGAAGCAAAUGUCAUAAAAUAUUAACAGUUGGUGAAUGUGGGUGAAACUUGUAUGGUGUUCCUUGUGCUAUUCUUUCUAAUCUUCCGUAAGUCUGAAGUCUUUUAAAAUAAAAAGUAUGGGAAAAUGGCCCCAAAGUCAGCUAUGUGCCAUGGCAUAGCUUCCCUAUCCUACAAUCCUUCUGGGUUUAUUCAUCCCAUAGGUUAAGGCAGACACACUCCUGUUAUACUUUGGGCUCAUCUCCUUAUUUGCUCUGUUCUCUCUGCAGACAGAGUCAGCAACCUCCUUAUAAUUGUGUGGCUUGAUGAUGUGAGGAACAUCAGAGUUAUCCCUAAAACUCAUUUAUAUGUGUCUUGGGCUACUCCUCCUCAGCACCCAAGUAACAGCCAUUUUUGAGUGACGGCAACAGUGUCGGCAAAAGCAAACAUUUAUUGAAUAUUCACUGUGUGCCAGAUAUUUUAUCUGUAUCAGUUCACCUGAUUCUCAUAAACAAACCUCGGUUAGGUUCUCUUAUCACCCUGUUUUAUAUAUGAGGCGAUGAGGCUCCUACUGCUGACAAGCAGUGGAGUCAGAAUUUGAAGAAUCUAGGGCCAGUGACUCUAAAACCUGCAUUCCUGACCACGGUUGAGCAUGUCUCGGCCUGCAGCUGCAUUGCAACUACCUAGAGAACAUUUGCAAAAUUUACACGUGCAGGCACUGCUCCCAGGAGUAUGGAGUUAUGCAGUGGGGCUCAGACAUCUGUUGCAUACAAAGGUUUGGCUGUUUGGCUUCAGUCUCCCUUGUCUCCCUCAGCCUUGGGUAAGUUUCCUCCAUGACCUGUCUCCUCUCCCAUCACCACUUGGGAGAGUAAAUCCCUUUAACCUUAGGGAUUUGGUGUGGCUCUUCCUUUCUGCUGAUACCACCGUCUGUCUGGGUUGGCUCUGAUAGUCUCACAGGGUACAAGUUGGGGCCAGUGGUGUGGCUGAACUAAUAAACUUACCAGGCAUCAUUCUCAUACUUGGCUUCAUGUGGAGCUGUGGCAGAAACUUAGGUGAAAGUGCCUGUGGACCCUUGCAUUGGGUAACCUGUGCCUCCUGACAAGAAUCUUCUGGGGAAGGAGGACAGAGGCACAAGGAGGAGGAGCAGGCUUCAGCUG
rnacentral:lncRNA from 1 species